AAUCAACGCUGGCGGCGUGCCUAACACAUGCAAGUCGAACGAGAAAGUCCCCGCAAGGGGAUGAGUACAGUGGCGACCGGGUGAGUAACACGUGACUAACCUACCCUGAAGCGGGGAAUAACCUCGGGAAACCGGGGCUAAUACCGCAUACCUUCCAGAGGGGAAGCUCCUGUGGAGGAAACGAGCAAUCGGCUUUAGGAGGGGGUCGCGCCCGAUUACGGUAGUUGGCGGGGUAAUGGCCCACCAAGCCUUUGANCGGUAGCCGGCCUGAGAGGGCGCACGGCCACACUGGAACUGAAACACGGUCCAGACUCCUACGGGAGGCAGCAGUGGGGAAUUUUGCGCAAUGGGGGAAACCCUGACGCAGCAACGCCGCGUGGAGGAUGAAGUCCCUUGGGACGUAAACUCCUUUCGACCGGGACGAUAAUGACGGUA
rnacentral:rRNA from 1 species